rnacentral:rRNA from 1 species
UGGGGAAUUUUGGACAAUGGGCGAAAGCCUGAUCCAGCAAUGCCGCGUGUGUGAAGAAGGCCUUCGGGUUGUAAAGCACUUUUGUCCGGAAAGAAAUCCUUGGCUCUAAUACAGUCGGGGGAUGACGGUACCGGAAGAAUAAGCACCGGCUAACUACGUGCCAGCAGCCGCGGUAAUACGUAGGGUGCAAGCGUUAAUCGGAAUUACUGGGCGUAAAGCGUGCGCAGGCGGUUUGCUAAGACCGAUGUGAAAUCCCCGGGCUCAACCUGGGAACUGCAUUGGUGACUGGCAGGCUAGAGUAUGGCAGAGGGGGGUAGAAUUCCACGUGUAGCAGUGAAAUGCGUAGAGAUGUGGAGGAAUACCGAUGGCGAAGGCAGCCCCCUGGGCCAAUACUGACGCUCAUGCACGAAAAGCGUGGGGAGCAAAACAGGAUUAGAUACCCUGGUAGUCCACGCCCUAAAACGAUGUCAACUAGUUGUUGGGGAUUCAUUUCCUUAGUAACGUAGCUAACGCGUGAAGUUGACCGCCUGGGAGUAACGGUCGCAAAGAUUAAAACUCAAAUGAAUUGACGGGGUCAUAGCUGUUUCCU